AAAUUAAAUACACUCAAACCGUAGACAGUUGGUACUCGUAAGAGUUUAAAAUAUGCCAACCGAGGUUGAGACGAUGCUUUAUUGAUGCUUUAUUUAAGAGUAUAACGGUCUCUCUGUGUCUACGGAGAGGCCUUUUUAUAUAUCUAC
rfam:Caldisalinibacter kiritimatiensis strain L21-TH-D2 NODE_56, whole genome shotgun sequence.